rnacentral:rRNA from 1 species
CCUACGGGUGGCAGCAGUAGGGAAUAUUGCUCAAUGGGGGAAACCCUGAAGCAGCAACGCCGCGUGGAGGAUGAAGGUUUUAGGAUUGUUAACUCCUUUUGUUAGAGAAGAUAAUGACGGUAUCUAACGAAUAAGCACCGGCUAACUCCGUGCCAGCAGCCGCGGUACUACGGAGGGUGCAAGCGUUACUCGGAUUCACUGGGCUUAAAGGGAGCGUAGGUGGGUUAAUAAGUCAGAUGUGAAAUCCUAUGGCUUAACCAUAGAACUGCAUUUGAAACUGUCAUUCUUGAGUAUGGUAGAGGUAGGUGGAAUUCGUGGUGUAGGGGUAAAAUGCGUAGAGAUCAAGAGGAAUACUGAUUGCGAAGGCGACCUGCUAGAACAUCACUGACGCUGAUGCGCGAAAGCGUGGGGAGCAAACAGGAUUAGAUACCCGAGUAGUC